rnacentral:rRNA from 1 species
UCCUACGGGAGGCAGCAGUGGGGAAUAUUGCACAAUGGGGGGAACCCUGAUGCAGCGACGCCGCGUGAGCGAUGAAGUAUUUCGGUAUGUAAAGCUCUAUCAGCAGGGAAGAAAGAAAUGACGGUACCUGACUAAGAAACCCCGGCUAACUACGUGCCAGCAGCCGCGGUAAUACGUAGGGGGCAAGCGUUAUCCGGAUUUACUGGGUGUAAAGGGAGCGUAGACGGUUACGCAAGUCUGGAGUGAAAGGCGGGGGCCCAACCCCCGGACUGCUUUGGAAACUGUAUAACUGGAGUGCAGGAGAG